CCACGCCAUGCCUAGUACGGCGAGUGAAGCGGCAACAGCUCAAAUUUGAAAUCUGGCCCCUCGCGGGUCCGAGUUGUAAUUUGUAGAGGAUGCUUUUGGUGCGGUGCCUUCCGAGUUCCCUGGAACGGGACGCCAUAGAGGGUGAGAGCCCCGUCUGGUCGGAUACCAAUCCUCUGUAAAGCUCCUUCGACGAGUCGAGUAGUUUGGGAAUGCUGCUCUAAAUGGGAGGUAUAUGUCUUCUAAAGCUAAAUACCGGCCAGAGACCGAUAGCGCACAAGUAGAGUGAUCGAAAGAUGAAAAGCACUUUGAAAAGAGGGUUAAAUAGUACGUGAAAUUGUUGAAAGGGAAGCGCUUGUGACCAGACUUGGGCUUGGUUAAUCAUCCAGCGUUCUCGCUGGUGCACUUGGCCGGCCCAGGCCAGCAUCAGUUCGGGUCGGGGGAUAAAGGCGUCGGGAACGUGGCUCCCCCGGGAGUGUUAUAGCCCUUCGUGCAAUACCCUGAACCGGACUGAGGUUCGCGCAUCUGCAAGGAUGCUGGCGUAAUGGUCAUCAGCGACCCGUCUUGAACACAAGGAAACAAA
rnacentral:rRNA from 1 species